AGUGAACGCUGGCGGUAGGCCUAACACAUGCAAGUCGAACGGCAGCACAGGAGAGCUUGCUCUCUGGGUGGCGAGUGGCGGACGGGUGAGGAAUACAUCGGAAUCUACCUUUUCGUGGGGGAUAACGUAGGGAAACUUACGCUAAUACCGCAUACGACCUACGGGUGAAAGUGGGGGACCGCAAGGCCUCACGCGAUUAGAUGAGCCGAUGUCCGAUUAGCUAGUUGGCGGGGGUAAUGGCCCACCAAGGCGACGAUCGGUAGCUGGUCUGAGAGGAUGAUCAGCCACACUGGAACUGAGACACGGUCCAGACUCCUACGGGAGGCAGCAGUGGGGAAUAUUGGACAAUGGGCGCAAGCCUGAUCCAGCCAUACCGCGUGGGUGAAGAAGGCCUUCGGGUUGUAAAGCCCUUUUGUCCGGAAAGAAAUCCAAUCGAUUAAUACUCGGUUGGGAUGACGGUACCGGAAGAAUAAGCACCGGCUAACUUCGUGCCAGCCGCCGCAGUAACAC
rnacentral:rRNA from 1 species